rnacentral:rRNA from 1 species
CCCGCUGAACUUAAGCAUAUCAAUAAGCGGAGGAAAAGAAACCAACAGGGAUUGCCUUAGUAACUGCGAGUGAAGCGGCAAAAGCUCAAAUUUGAAAUCUGGUACCAUUCGGUGCUCGAGUUGUAAUUUGGAGAGGCAACUUCGGAGAGGGCGUUGGCCUAAGUUCCUUGGAACAGGACGUCACAGAGGGUGAGAAUCCCGUGCUUGGCUGACUGUCCCUCUUCAUGUGAAGUGUCUUCGACGAGUCGAGUUGUUUGGGAAUGCAGCUCAAAAUGGGUGGUAAACUCCAUCUAAGGCUAAAUAUAGGCGAGAGACCGAUAGCGAACAAGUACCGUGAGGGAAAGAUGAAAAGCACUUUGGAAAGAGAGUUAAACAGUACGUGAAAUUGCUGAAAGGGAAACGCUUGAAGUCAGUCAUGUCUGCCAGGACUCAGCCUUGCUUCUGCUUGGUGCACUUUCUGGUUUGAUGGGCCAACAUCAAUUUUGACCGCUGGAGAAAGGCUUUGGGAAUGUGGCACCUUUGGGUGUGUUAUAGCCCUUUGUCGUAUGCAACGGUUGGGAUUGAGGACUGCAGCACGCCUUCAUGGCCGGGGUUCGCCCACGUACGUGCUUAGGAUGUUGGCAUAAUGGCUUUAAGCGACCCGUCUUGAAACACGG